AUGGGGCUAUCAAGUGUAACAGCAACUCCAUGUGGACUGUGUGCCAAUUUCCAGUGGAGAUGCUGUUACUUUUGAUGGUUACCAA
rnacentral:pre_miRNA from 2 species